CUGCACAGUCAGUGAGGAGGCAGCCUUCUCUCCUGGCCUAAUCCUGGCUGGUUACUCACGACGUACAGGCACAGGGACUGAGUUACCAUUUGAGGACUCACCAGCUUCCUCUGUGGGCAACUGAUAUGAAAGGAAUGCAGGUCGAGUUUCUAGAAUGUGCUGUCUUUGUCCUCCAUCUCGGCACCUUGGUAGCACUCGAGAAAAAAUGGAAACCAUUAAUUUCUGUGGUAGCAGAUAACCCCAUGUGA
rnacentral:lncRNA from 13 species